UACGUAGGUGGCAAGCGUUGUCCGGAUUUACUGGGCGUAAAGAGCGCGCAGGCGGUCGUACAAGUCGCGUGUGAAAGCCCCCGGCUCAACUGGGGAGGGUCACGCGAUACUGAUCGACUCGAAGGCAGGAGAGGGUAGUGGAAUUCCUGGUGUAGCGGUGAAAUGCGCAGAUAUCAGGAGGAACACCGGUGGCGAAGGCGGGUCUCUGGGCAACAACUGACGCUGAGGAGCGAAAGCGUGGGGAGCGAACAGG
rnacentral:rRNA from 1 species